UAAAAAAAAUGCGAAAAUGUCACAAACAAAAGGAGAAUUAUGACGGGAGACAUUGAAAAGGGAUAUUUUAAGGUGGUUGAUACCAGCCAGAACCGGCAGCUACCGGCUACAACAAGUGAAGCUACCGCUGCUGCCGCUGUUAACUUAGCGACGUUAGCCUAGUUAGCCGUUAGCUUCGUUAGCCGUUGGUUUAGUGGCUUCAGCCUCUAGCUUAGUGAUGUUAGCAUAGUUAGCCGUUAGCUUCGUUAGCCGUUAGUUUAGCGACGUUAGCCCCGACAGCCCGGCGGCUCCGGGCCCAGCGGCUUCCCGACACAAGAGCCACAGCCGGGGGAGGAGGAGCCAGUCAGGCCCGGCCCACCUGUCUCUCCUCCAUCCUCCAGUAACGCCCCGCAGCUCGGAUCUUGUCCUCCAGGGGGAGACGGAGGGCGAUGUGCGGGCUGACGGGGCUCAAACGCUGCCGGAGGCCGGAAUAAAGAAACAGAUGUCCCGGCAGCAGAGCGACGCCACAGACACCUGGAGAGGCUUCCUCUCUCUCGGGAGGAGCCGCGGCCACAGAACGGAGGCUGUGAGGACACAGGCAUCAUGAAGCACAAGUGCGAGCCGUAGAAGCCAUGAGGACAGUCGCAGGAAUCAGGACGAACACACGAACCUCCGUUCAGACAAACAGGAGAGCAGAGAGCUGCAGAGAGAGAACACACAGGACAGCGGCCGCAGCGAAAGCCUCCCUCCGUCACCGGUUCACACUGAACGCCGGGAAAACACGGCCGGUCGGCACAGGAAGUCGCAGGCCUUUCUGCUGUCACGCCGGUCCUUCCUC